CCAUCAAAAGACUGAAACAGUUCCCAUUUCAUAGAGGGCACCAUUGAUUGUGCCUAUUGUAAAACAAAAUAGGCACAAAUACAUUUUCUGACAGCUUUAUUGAAAAAAAUGGACUCUAAUAUAUUAUUUGUGCCCAUAAUUAAUUAUAUAUACUAAAACCCAGUUGAUGAGCACUGUUCAGCAAUAUUGAUUUGACCGAAAUGCCCCUCUUUUGAUCACCAUGGCCCGUUGUUUUUUGUGUUCAAUACAGUGAAAUUACGUGUUUACCCCCGUUGUCCACCUGUCGAUCAUCGUGAAGGUUAGCUGAAUUGGGUCUGCUUCGAAACAAACUCCACUUUUGCUUCCAUUUCGUCUUCUCUCUCAGAAACAUUACCCUCUCUCUCUCUCUCUCUCCCCCCUUCCCUCUCUUGCUGCGUUGCGAUCCUCACACCACAAUCUCAUCCUUACAGAUUCGUCCUCUUCGUCUCGAUCCCGAACUCGGAACCACCGCGACCACUAGGGGCCACUGCCGCGUGAAAUUAUGGGCUUCAAUCGUUUUCUAAAACCUUUUGUACUCAUGGCUUUACGAACUGGAAUCGUUGAGGGUAGGCUUGAAUUUGGCCAAAUUUUGUAGGUAAUCAGGAGUUUUAUUUGGCCAAAUUCAGAGCCGAAGAGUUUUUCAACAUUAAGAUUUAGAUACCCGAGGUUGGUUGAAGGAUUUUGCCUCUGAACUCAAUUCAGGUGCAAAACACCAUAGAGUAUUUAAACAUCAUCGGGGCCUUGGAUGAGAAUGAGAAUCUGACUGUUUUCGGAGGAUGAUUGCACCAUCCACCAAGUUGGAAAAGGAGGUGAAUCUUUGAUAUGGCAGAUCUGGAACUUUUACGUAUUGAUUUUAACCAACUCCUUUUUAGGUGUAAUUUUGGACUUAUUUUGUUUUGAAGUCGACUAUAUUUGUUUUAGCUUCUGAUGAGGUGCAAGGCUUGCUAGGGAAGAUGCAUUUGUCCAAAAAUGUCUGCUUUCAAGUUCUUUUUGCAUUAGAGAUGAAAUAUGUAACAUUACAAUAUAUGUUUCUGAGAUUGAGAAUGUGUUGUAGGCUUUCUACA